AAGGAUGUGACCAGGCAGCAACCGUAAGGAGCCAGAUUUGGUAUCCCAAGACUGGCAAGAACAAGAGGGGAGCUGGAUGGGCCGGGGCUGCGGAGACAGUGCCCAUCAGAAAGCAGAAGUCUUGCCUCCCAUUUGUUCUGUCAUCCUAAAUGCCAACUAGACGGGGCCAGUAUAAACUUAGUGCCAUACCCUGGAAUUUGGACAUUUAAAUAUUAUUCCUUACUCCUUGUGUUUUCAAUUCAUUCCUGGCCAGAUUUGUUGUAUGACUUUUAAUAAUAACAAUUUAAAAAAAAGCAUCCCUGGCUCUUUAACCGAAAGAACCCCCUAAUUGAUUCCCACAGUAAUUAACCUGCAUUUUACCUCAGAGAGCGGUAGUUAAGGAAGUCGGCACUGCUAUUUAUAACUCAUCUCAAAUUGAGGGCAGACUGCCUAAAAUCUAACACAUCCCAGCUGUACUCCUGUUUGAACUGGGGCCAAGGGAAUUUUUUAAAGCAAUCUUGGCACCGAAUGAAUGACACCAACAGUAUGAGAGCGCGAGCGGUUGUGUUGUGGUGACGUAGCACUGGAGGUGGAAUGGGAGGGGGCCAGUGUACUGUGAUCCCUCUCGUGCACGCCUGCUGCUCGCGAGUCCCAGUACAGUAAGCUGGGAACCGCCCACUGAGAGCCAAACACAGGAAAAGGCUUUUCCUGUGGAACGCCUUGAAGUGAGAAACACAUGGCUAAUCUGCAUAAACGCGAAGCCACACCGCCCCUGCCAGGAAGGUUAGUGCUCGUAAUCUCUGGCCAUGAAGCUGGCUGCCUGGGAGGACUUGGACUGGCGCCUGAUAACCCAGAAAGAGCCGAGAGAGAACAGAUGGGGACAGGCGGCAGCUGUUGAUCCAGUUCCCGUUCGGGACCCUCCCCUGUUGAGGAGCAUUCCAGGCGGGGACAAAUAUAAAAGUAUUUCGUGGCUUUGAAAAUUGUUCAAAAACCCUUACUCCAACUGAAGAGAAACUGCCCAGAAAUCUGUUUAGUUCUAUCCCCAGACUCUGCCUCCUAAAAUAAAGAGACUUCCUUCAUUUGGGUUUGCGUUUAAACAAGUUUCCUUACUGUUUAUGUGACCUAGGACAAUAAAACAUUCCUUAACUUCCUAUUGGCCUCACCAGAGUCAUUAAGAUUUUCUGAAGCUAAAUUGAAGUUGAUGAUAGGAUAAGAAAAAUAUCUCAUCAGACAUACCAACACCUGACCCCGGAAAUCAAACCCACUCAGCCCAAGAUUCUUAUUAUCCUUCUUAAUCUCAGAAUCAUACCCCAAAUUUUCUACUUUACAAGAGAUUGGAAACAAUUCAUUCUAGUUCUAGUUCAUUCACAUUCUAAACAAACUGGUCAUCUGCCUAUGGUGAGAGAGAAAUUACCAACAUCUACCACUCCGAAGAGACAGGUUUAAAAACCAAAUCUUUUCAAAUUCCACAAGUGUCCAAGUUGAAUAUAAAUUAAAAACCCAGGGGUGCCUGGGUGGCUCAGUCGGUUGAGCAUUUGACUUUGGCUCAGGUCAUGAUCUCACAGUUCAUGAGUUCGAGCCCCGCGUUGGGGUCUGUGCUGACAGCUCAGAGCCUGGACCCUCCUUCGGGUUCUGUGUCUCCCUCUCUCUCUGCCUCUCCCUCGUUCAUGUUCUGUCUCUCUCU